UCCUGUGGCCGCAGCUGCCGCCGAGGGCAGGACCUGGCGCGGGAGGCCGCCCACCUGGGUCCUCCGGGCGGCGGGGAUGGGGGCGCGGACUCGCUUCGUGGGGCCCGAGGGUAGAUACACGGAAGAACAGACGCCCGUAAGGCGGCAGGAACAAGGGUGUCCCUGAGAAAGGAGAGCACUGAUUUGCUCGAACCUGCACCGAGGCCUCUAUUUGCUCUCACAAAGUCGUUGAACAGCUCAGGAGGUUUUCCGUGAUUUUUAUUUGGGAGAAGAGGAUGAGGGUGUUCUUUGCUGCUUUGAUUGGUCAGAAGGAAGAUUCUGAAUGUUCCUUUGUGAAGUGUUACACACUUAGCUUUGUUCUUACUACUUGUCCGGGAGCCAAGUGUUUCUCAAGUCGCUCUGGUCCCUGAACGUGAUCAUAAAGCAAAGCUCAACACGCGCCGAGAGGAGGCACGCCUGGGAGUUUCGGGUGCCGCGAGCACCACACCUAACGAAGAGGCAGGAUAAUUUGAAUGAAUGAUACCACUUUAGUCCUUUCUCUGAACCUCAACACCAGUAACUGGUGACCUUGAGCCUGUCUGCUCACCUGUAAGCUGUCCUCACAGGCUGGCAUCAGCCCUACGUGCGACCUGAGUGUGGCUGGUGGCAGGGGUGGGCAGGCAACCUGCUUCUAGGAACUGGCCCUGCCAGGUUGUGGAACUGUCACGCAGCUCUGGCUUCACCAGGAUUCCCUGUUUCAUCUUGGAAUACAGCAGACCCUGGGAAAAUUGAAACAAGCACAACAGAAAUUUUUUUCAGGGAAUUAUCAUUUUUCAUCUGGCUCUUUUCCAUCCACCAGAGUGCCUUGUUACGUUGCCUGUUUUUUGACUUUCCAGAACCCUCCGUCGUGCUGCUUUGAUGACUCUCUGUUCACUCCAUCGCUGACAGUGAGUUAAAAAUACUUGGCUGGUGAGAAAGGUGAGAAAUGGAUGACUCAGUCCCUCCAAAUAAAGAAUCUGCCGCUGGAACGGAAGGCUGGUCAGAGCCAGCGUUGUGAGGAGUCGUUUUUAGGCCCUGUCCUACGAGGCGACAUUCAAGGAAGAUGAAAGACUAACAUGGAUUUAAAUGCAUUGCUUCUGCAUAGAUUUACUGAGCGCAUGGUGCUGAGAAUAUAGCAGUGAAUGAGACCCAGCCCUCGACCUCAAAUGUGCUUGAAUUUAGAUAUGAAACGUGCCAGCCCCUCCCCCUCCUCUCUAUUCUCCUGCCCUGUCUUGAGGGAAGCUCAGAGCUGGCAUCACACCUCUGGUUUGCCUUUUUUAUUUUUUAUUUUCCAAAAGCUCCAACAUCCCAGGCUUGUAGAAGGGUGAGUGAGACAAAGACCCUUUAAGGGGCCAAAGUGAAUUCAAGAGACUCCCUAAAAGGAACACUGCUAAGGUUCAGCAUUGUCAGGCUUUUGGACUCUACGUCAUGAUCCAACCUAUUUGUUACUCAUCUUGCAAGCUGUUAGCACACAUGAUGCCUUUUUGCAGAUGUAAGGAGACGUGUCCCCUCUAGACAAAUAGCAUAAACGAGGCCUCUCUUCUUGUAGGCGGAUUCAAGCCCUCACGAAAGCACCCCAUGUCCUGCCCCUCGGUAGGUGCCCUGCAGAACCACACACCACACCCUGUCAACAGCCUUGCCAACAAACUCAUGAGUCUUCCUUAGAACAGUGCUUCCCUCCAAACGUCCAUCAGCAAAGAAGAGGUCUCUGGGAAUUGCUGUUCUAAGGGGACUAGGUUUUUAAGACAGGAUCUAUUUCUUCAUGUUUAAAAUACGGCACCAUAUGUGUGAGCCGCCUAAGAGUUUGGGUGACAAGGCAUCCUAUUUUUGUCAGAUUUGCUCUGGGUUUUACUACUAUUUCCACCCUCCUCCUCGCCCGUCCAGGGCCCUGAGAAGUCCUUCUGAGUGGCAAUCUGUCCCCUAAAAAAAAAUAAAAUAAAAUAAAAAAAGAAAAAAAACAAAAAGCAAACCACCCAUGCAGGAUCACAGCCCUUGGAACGAGCCCGCAUGGUGGGACGUUAAGGAGGCCAGCGGAUGGCUCCUCCAGAGCCAAGCGAGCCUGAUUCUCUGCUGCAUACAUUCUAACUUAAUUGCCCUAAUGAGUCUGGGCCGAUGGGAUCAAAUGAUCAAUCCAGUUCGAGUUAUGAGAUAUUGAAAAAUGGGAUUAGAGAAGAAGAAAGGCAUUUGGCAAAUCGACUACCGGGCCGGGGAGCCUAGGGAGUCGCGGGUGAGCAGUUGGAUACGUGUCUCAUUUUCCCCCCGUCCCUUGAAGGCUAAGUCAUAACAAAACCUUCCUAGACGUGCUUGCUUGCUCAUGUUUCACUGGAACUCAUCUCGCCGUCCCCGCUCUGUUUUGAUUCAAAAGGCUUUUCUCUCUCUCAGACGCAAUAAGCCGGAAACUCGGCCAUGUCUGAGACGUUCAAGAACCAACGAACACCUGCCACCCAGAGAAGUGAAGCGCCCUGUGGAAUUCCUCUUACCUUUAGACGAGGUUAAUGUGUUCAGUGGAAAAAAGAAAUACAAAAGAAGACAUGAGCCUUCACAUUGCAUGGAACGUUAGUUCCACGUAAAUAUUAGCCCCUCUCUGUUCCUAUCUAUGUAGGGAAGCAGGGGGUUGGCCAAGGAGGGAAUUUGGGUGUGCGGAUUUUUUUUUUUUUUUGAUCUCUUUUUGAGUGGUUCUUAAUGGGGAGACGUCCUUGGGUCAUCUCAGGCCAAUAACUGAAACUGCUUGAGACUUACAUUCUUCUAGCUCCGGGAAGGUUAGAAACUGGGUGAACUCCUCAAGCUUGGCUGGUUUUCCACUUGACUUGCUGUGUCUGAGGUAAAUACGGGUACCCUGAGGCACGUAGAGUUCUGUCGUUCAUUUACAGAGAUCU